CGGGACGGGUGAGUAAUGUCUGGGAAACUGCCUGAUGGAGGGGGAUAACUACUGGAAACGGUAGCUAUACCGCAUAACGUCGCAAGACCAAAGAGGGGGACCUUCGGGCCUCUUGCCAUCGGAUGUGCCCAGAUGGGAUUAGCUAGUAGGUGGGGUAACGGCUCACCUAGGCGACGAUCCCUAGCUGGUCUGAGAGGAUGCCAGCCACACUGGAACUGAGACACGGUCCAG
rnacentral:rRNA from 1 species